UUUUGGGUGUGGUGACGGUACCUUUGUUAAGAAGCACCGGCUAACUACGUGCCAGCAGCCGCGGUAAUACGUAGGGUGCGAGCGUUGUCCGGAAUUACUGGGCGUAAAGAGCUCGUAGGUGGUUUGUUGCGUCGUCUGUGAAAUUCCGGGGCUUAACUUCGGGGUGGCAGGCGAUACGGGCAUAACUAGAGUGCUGUAGGGGAAACUGGAAUUCCUGGUGUAGCGGUGGAAUGCGCAGAUAUCAGGAGGAACACCGAUGGCGAAGGCAGGUCUCUGGGCAGUAACUGACGCUGAGGAGCGAAAGCAUGGGGAGCGAACAGGAUUAGAUACCCUGGUAGUCCAUGCUGUAAACGGUGGGCGUUAGGUGUGGGGACCGGUUUGGUUUCUGUGCCGUAGCUAACGCAUUAAGCGCCCCGCCUGGGGAGUACGGCCGCAAGGCUAAAACUCAAAGGAAUUGACGGGGGCCCGCACAAG
rnacentral:rRNA from 1 species